rnacentral:rRNA from 1 species
UGGGGAAUAUUGGACAAUGGGCGAAAGCCUGAUCCAGCCAUGCCGCGUGUGUGAAGAAGGUCUUCGGAUUGUAAAGCACUUUAAGUUGGGAGGAAGGGCAGUUACCUAAUACGUGAUUGUUUUGACGUUACCGACAGAAUAAGCACCGGCUAACUCUGUGCCAGCAGCCGCGGUAAUACAGAGGGUGCAAGCGUUAAUCGGAAUUACUGGGCGUAGAGCGCGCGUAGGUGGUUAGUUAAGUUGGAUGUGAAAUCCCCGGGCUCAACCUGGGAACUGCAUUCAAAACUGACUGACUAGAGUAUGGUAGAGGGUGGUGGAAUUUCCUGUGUAGCGGUGAAAUGCGUAGAUAUAGGAAGGAACACCAGUGGCGAAGGCGACCACCUGGACUGAUACUGACACUGAGGUGCGAAAGCGUGGGGAGCAAACAGGAUUAGAUACCCUUGUAGUCCCUGAGCGGGCUGGCAAGGCGCAU